AACGAACGCUGGCGGCAGGCCUAACACAUGCAAGUCGAGCGGACCUUUCGUGGUCAUCGUCGGACGGGUUUGUAACGCGUGGGAAUAUGCCCUUCUCUACGUAAUAGUCCUUGGAAACUUGGGUUAAUACCGUAUACGCCCUUUGGGUGAAAUGUUUAUCGGGGAAGGAUUAGCCGGCGUUGGAUUAGGUUUUUGGUUGGGUAAUGGCCUACCAAGCCGACUAUCCAUAGAUGGUUUGAGAGGAUGAUCAGACACACUGGUAGUGAGACACGGCCCAGACUACUACGGGAGGCAGCAGUGGGGAAUCUUAGAAAAUGGGGGGAAACCUGAACAAGCAAUGACGCGUGAGUGAUGAAGGCAUUAGGGUAGUAAAGCUCUUUAAGCUGGGAAGAUAAUGACGGUACCAGAAGAAGAAGCCACGGCUAACUCCGUG
rnacentral:rRNA from 1 species